AACGCAUCUUGCGCUUGCUGGUAUUCCGGCAAGCAUGCCUGUUUGAGUGUCAUGAAACUUAUCAACCGUGACUUGGGUUUAGGCCCCUGGCUCGGCUUGGAUUUGGGUGCUUGCGGCCUUGCGUCGCUCACCUUAAAAGGAUCAGCUGGACAUGUCGUGAGACUUGGUUCUACUUGGCGUAAUAAGUAUUUCGCUGAGGACAUCCCCUCGUGGGGUGGCCAUGACUCUGGUACAGACGUCUGCUUUCUAACCCGAUCGUCCUCGGACAUCACUUUUUAUGAUCUGGCCUCAAAUCAGGUAGGACUACCCGCUGAACUUAA
rnacentral:misc_RNA from 1 species